rnacentral:rRNA from 1 species
AAUCAACGCUGGCGGCGUGCCUCAGACAUGCAAGUCGAACGCGAAAGUCCCCUUCGGGGGAUGAUUAGAGUGGCGCACGGGUGAGUAACACGUAGGUAAUCCACCUUCGAGUGGGGAAUAACUCAGGGAAACUUGAGCUAAUACCGCAUAAUGCAGCGGCACCACAUGGUGACAGUUGUUAAAGCAUUUAUGCGCUUGAAGAGGAGCCUGCGGCGGAUAGCUAGUUGGUAAGGUAAUGGCUUACCAAGGCUACGAUCUGUAACCGGCCUGAGAGGGCGGACGGUCACACUGACACUGAAUAACGGGUCAGACUCCUACGGGAGGCAGCAGUCGGGAAUUUUGGGCAAUGGGCGAAAGCCUGACCCAGCAACG